GGAGGAUGCGAGCGUUAUCCGGAUUCAUUGGGUUUAAAGGGUGCGUAGGCGGACUUAUAAGUCAGUGGUGAAAACCUGCAGCUUAACUGUAGACGUGCCAUUGAUACUGUUAGUCUUGAGUAUGGUCAAGGUAGGCGGAAUGUGUAAUGUAGCGGUGAAAUGCUUAGAUAUUACACAGAACACCGAUUGCGAAGGCAGCUUACUGGGCCAUUACUGACGCUGAUGCACGAAAGCGUGGGGAGCGAACAGGAUUAGAUACCCUGGUAGUCCACGCCGUAAACGAUGAUCACUCGCUGUUGGCGAUACACAGUCAGCGGCUAAGCAAAAGCAUUAAGUGAUCCACCUGGGGAGUACGGCCGCAAGGCUGAA
rnacentral:rRNA from 1 species